ensembl:rRNA 5S_rRNA 5S ribosomal RNA
GUCUACUGGCAUACCACCCUGAACCCCCCUGAUCUCGCCUGAUUUCGGAAGCUAAGCAGCGUGGGGCGUGGUUAGUACUUGGAUGGGAGACCGCCUAGGAAUACCGGGUGCUUUAGGCA